CAAUCAGAGGUGCUUUUCUGUCUGCAUCUGGUGCAGAGUGGGAAAGGUGUACUCAACAGAGUAGCAUCAGAGGACACAGGACAGGAGCUUCUGAAAACAAUGGCGGACAACCAGCAUCAUGAAGACCAAGUAGCACGACAGACAGGGAACAUCUGCAAACCAGCCAACCAAGGCAUGACGAUCAGCAUAAAGUGAAAAGCCAGCCAAUGAGAAAUUGACCCAGAGGAGAAGCCAAGAGGACUGUGGUAACUCCUGAGGAGCUGCAGAGAUCCACAGCUCAGGUCCCUCUGAUGGCUCGCUGGUCGUGGCGUCUUCUGUCUGCGCAGAGGUGGUCUCUGAGCCUGUGUUGCUGUCGCUGGUUCCCUCCUCCAUGGCUCCCUCAGGGACGCUCU